rnacentral:rRNA from 1 species
ACGAACGCUGGCGGCAGGCUUCACCCCUGCCAGUCGAGCGCCCCGCAAGGGGAGCGGCAGACGGGUGAGUAACGCGUGGGAACGUACCUUUUGGUUCGGAACAACUCCGGGAAACUGGAGCUAAUACCGGAUAAGCCCUAACGGGGAAAGAUUUAUCGCCGAAAGAUCGGCCCGCGUCUGAUUAGCUAGUUGGUGAGGUAACGGCUCACCAAGGCGACGAUCAGUAGCUGGUCUGAGAGGAUGAUCAGCCACACUGGGACUGAGACACGGCCCAGACUCCUACGGGAGGCAGCAGUGGGGAAUAUUGGACAAUGGGCGCAAGCCUGAUCCAGCCAUGCCGCGUGAGUGAUGAAGGCCUUAGGGUUGUAAAGCUCUUUUGUCCGGGAAGAUAAUGACUGUACCGGAAGAAUAAGCCCCGGCUAACUUCGUG